rnacentral:lncRNA from 1 species
GAGGCCAGCUGCGGACUGGCAGCCAAGAGUGUCAGACGUCUGAGCUGAGAAUAGAGUCCUGAGGGUACUCGUGGCAUCUUGGGUUCUCUUGGAAAGUAGCAGCCACCAAGAUAUUAAAGAGAAUAGAAGGCAGCCAAGUGGCAUUAUCCUUGGGUUCAGAGCCAAGUACCAGCUCUUCCUGCUAAAAUGUUCUCAAUUUGGCCUUCACCAGAACAGGAGGACGCUCUCCUGAGGCCCUUUCCCUAUUCUCCUAUGCUGCACAUACUUCUCUCACAGAAGCCUUUUAAGGACCAGGUUAAACUCUC